rnacentral:rRNA from 1 species
UACGUAGGAUGCAAGCGUUAUCCGGAAUGACUGGGCGUAAAGGGUGCGUAGGUGGUUUGGCAAGUUGGUAGCGUAAUUCCGGGGCUUAACUCCGGAACUACUACCAAAACUGUUGAACUUGAGUGCAGGAGGGGCAUGUGGAAUUCCUAGUGUAGCGGUGGAAUGCGUAGAUAUUAGGAGGAACACCAGUGGCGAAGGCGACAUGCUGGACUGUAACUGACACUGAGGCACGAAAGCGUGGGGAGCAAACAGG